rnacentral:rRNA from 1 species
UCUGGUUGAUCCUGCCUGAACUGAUGUGUUCAUUUCAAAGAUUAAGCCAUGCAUGUAUAAGUAUAAUCUGCCAGUCAGAGAAACUGCGUACGGCUCAUUACACCAGCCUUAAUUUACUUGACCUUGACACCCUACUUGGAUAACUGUGGUAAUUCUAGAGCUAAUACAUGCACCAAAGCUCCAAUCUCCCCAGAGCGGAGCGCAUUUGUUCGCCACAAAACCAAGCGCCUCAGGGCGUUCAGUGUUGACUCAGAACAACUAAGCUGAUCGCACGGUCUUGCACCGGCGACGUGUCUUUCAAGUGUCUGCCUUAUCAACUUUCGAUGGUAGUGUAUCUGACUACCAUGGUGAUGACGGGUAACGGAGGAUAAGGGUUCGACUCCGGAGAAGGGGCCUGAGAAAUGGCCACUACGUCUAAGGAUGGCAGCAGGCGCGCAAAUUACCCACUCUCGACGCGAGGAGGUAGUGACGAGAAAUAACGAGACCGUUCUCAUCUGAGGCCGGUCAUCGGAAUGGGUACAAUUUAAACCCUUUAACGAGUAUCUAUGAGAGGGCAAGUCUGGUGCCAGCAGCCGCGGUAAUUCCAGCUCUCAAAAUGCAUAGAAUUAUUGCUGCGGUUAAAAAGCUCGUAGUUGGAUCUGUGCUGAGCGACCGGUCUGCCCACUGGGCACGCACUGGCUCGCCCGGCUUUCCCUGCCGGUCUCUCUCUGACGUUGGUUUUAACCGGCUGGCGUCAGUGGGCUGGCGAGUUUACUUUGAACAAAUCAGAGUGCUUCAAACAGGCGUCUCGCCUGAAUGUUCGUGCAUGGAAUAAUAGAAGAGGAUCACGGUCCGAUUUUAUUGGUUUUGCUGACCGAGAUAAUGGUUAACAGAGACAAACGGGGCCAUUCGUAUUGCUACGUGAGAGGUGAAAUUCUUGGACCGUAGCAAGACGGACUACAGCGAAAGCAUUUGGCAAGAAUGUCUUCAUUAAUCAAGAACGAAAGUCAGAGGUUCGAAGGCGAUCAGAUACCGCCCUAGUUCUGACCGUAAACGAUGCCAACUAGCGAUCCGCCGGCGGAUUCAUUCGCCCUGGUGGGGAGCUUCCCGGAAACGAAAGUCUUCCGGUUCCGGGGGAAGUAUGGUUGCAAAGCUGAAACUUAAAGGAAUUGACGGAAGGGCACCACCAGGAGUGGAGCCUGCGGCUUAAUUUGACUCAACACGGGGAAACUCACCCGGCCCGGACACCGUAAGGAUUGACAGAUUGAUAGCUUUUUCAUGAUUCGGUGGAUGGUGGUGCAUGGCCGUUCUUAGUUCGUGGAGCGAUUUGUCUGGUUUAUUCCGAUAACGAGCGAGACUCUGGCCUACUAAAUAGUUGGCACAUUGCCACUGUGUGCCCAACUUCUUAGAGGGAUUUUCGGUGUUCAGCCGCACGAAAUUGAGCAAUAACAGGUCUGUGAUGCCCUUAGAUGUCCGGGGCUGCACGCGCGCUACACUGGCAAAAUCAGCGUGCUUGUCCUCCCCCGAAAGGGGUUGGUAAACCGAUGAAAAUUUGCCGUGAUUGGGAUCGGACAUUGCAAUUAUUGUCCGUGAACGAGGAAUCCCUUGUAAGGGCGAGUCAUCAACUCGUCCUGAAUACGUCCCUGCCCUUUGUACACACCGCCCGUCGCUGCCCGGGACUGAGCCAUUUCGAGAAAACCGGGGAUUAUUGGCCUGACGGCUCUCGGGUCGUCUAGCCGAUGAGAACCGGCUUAAUCGCACUGGUUUGAACCGGGCAAAAGUCGUAACAAGGUAGCUGUAGGUGAACCUGCUGCUG